UACGUAGGGGGCUAGCGUUGUCCGGAUUUGUUGGGCGUAAAGAGCGUGUAGGCGGCCAGGUAGGUCUGCUGUGAAAACUCGAGGCUCAACCUCGAGACGUCGGCGGAAACCAUCUGGCUAGAGUCCGGAAGAGGAGAGUGGAAUUCCUGGUGUAGCGGUGAAAUGCGCAGAUAUCAGGAAGAACACCAAUGGCGAAGGCAGCUCUCUGGGACGGUACUGACGCUGAGACGCGAAAGCGUGGGGAGCGAACAGG
rnacentral:rRNA from 1 species